AAGUCAGGGGGCGGGGCCGGGGGGGAGGAGGUGGAGAGUGAGGCCGAGGGGUGGGGAGCCCGGGAACUCCCUCUUCCUGAAGUAACGCGUCCCGGGCCGGCUCUGCCGUCGUUGCUGCCGCCGGGCGCCCCGGGACGAGGAGGUGGAGGAGGGAGAGGGCCCGCGGGCCUCGCCUCCGCCCUCCGCCCCCUCCCGCCACCUCGAGCUGCGGUAGCAGCGACUCAUGAGAGCGCGGCCGGAGGACAGCGUUGAUGCCUUACCUGGACGUUUCAAGGCUAGAGCAGUUGUUGAACUCCAGAGCAUUAUCAAGUCCUCACAGCUUAAAAGGAGAUUUGAUAAUGGGCUGCAUUAAAAGUAAAGAAAACAAAAGUCCAGCCAUUAAAUACAGACCUGAAAAUACUCCAGAGCCUGUCAGUACAAGUGUGAGCCAUUAUGGAGCAGAACCCACUACAGUGUCACCAUGUCCGUCAUCUUCAGCAAAGGGAACAG
rnacentral:sRNA from 1 species